rnacentral:sRNA from 1 species
AUUAAAAACCAAAAAC